rnacentral:lncRNA from 1 species
GGGAAUCCUUAUCUCUCUCACGUUAAUGGCAAUGAAAAAAAAGAGAAAAAUCUCUCACCUAAAAAGACCAACUCACUCAUUAAUUGAAGGGACCCCUCCUCACUAGUUUUCACGGAAAAAAAAACCUCUCUCAUUUGGCAACAAAAAAAGGUCCUUAUACAUCAAGAGUAAUAAAAUACUCAGAAGCUUUUUCCAGCUUUCCUUUCACUUUUUUCAAAGGAGGCUAUCUUCCUCUUUAAAAC